rnacentral:rRNA from 1 species
CCUACGGGGGGCAGCAGUGAGGAAUAUUGGUCAAUGGGCUUACGCCUGAACCAGCCAAGUCGCGUGAGGGAAGACUGCCCUAUGGGUUGUAAACCUCUUUUGUCAGGGAGCAACGCCGGCUACGUGUAGCCGGACUGAGAGUACCUGAAGAAAAAGCAUCGGCUAACUCCGUGCCAGCAGCCGCGGUAAUACGGAGGAUGCGAGCGUUAUCCGGAUUUAUUGGGUUUAAAGGGUGCGUAGGCGGAAUGCCAAGUCAGCGGUAAAAUCGCGGGGCUCAACCUCGCUCCGCCGUUGAAACUGGCGUU